rnacentral:misc_RNA from 1 species
GAUGAAGAACGUAGCGAAAUGCGAUAAGUAAUGUGAAUUGCAGAAUUCAGUGAAUCAUCGAAUCUUUGAACGCACAUUGCGCCCCCCGGUAUUCCGGGGGGCAUGCCUGUUCGAGCGUCAUUUCACCACUCAAGCCUCGCUUGGUAUUGGGCAUCGCGGUCCGCCGCGCGCCUCAAAUCGACCGGCUGGGUCUUCUGUCCCCUAAGCGUUGUGGAAACUAUUCGCUAAAGGGUGUUCGGGAGGCUACGCCGUAAAACAACCCCAUUUCUAAGGUUGACCUCGGAUCAGGUAGGGAUACCCGCUUAACUUAAGCAUAUCAAUAAGCGGAGGA